UAAUUAAAUUAGUUUAUUCUGUUUUGGGUCCAUCACUCCCAAAUUAUUGAAAAUUUAAAUGAUUAACCAAAAAAAAAGUAACGAAGAAACAUGUUUUUGGUUUCCUCUUUUCAGCGACCACAUGGCUAUUUAGUAUUUACCAUGAUGCUCUAAUAAGUGGCUAUAAUUGAUUAAGAAACUCAUCAUCGUGAAUACAGCUGGUUUGUGUCGUUUAGUGUUGACUAAGAAUAAUCAAGUACUUGGUCUUCAGUUGCGUUCUAACCAAAACACAUUCGCAUAUACAGAUCUGUUGUAAGAAAAGCGAUUUUCAAGAGGAGACUUAUGGCUGAGCUAGCAGUGGCACUUUUACCGUUUGCAGUCGAGAGGCUUUCGAACCUCCUUGUCCGAGAAACUGAGCGAUUUCAAGGAGUUGAAGAGGAGUUCGAGGGAUUAAAAUAUGAUGUUGAAAAGUUAAGGUGUUUUCUAGAAGACGCAGAGGCCAAAAAACAUACAAGUGCAACGGUAAAACACACUAUCCAAGCGGUCAAAGAAAUAGUUUUGGACGCAGAAGAUAUAGUCGAAACCUUUGUUUUAAUGGAAGAACUCGGAAAUAGAAGAGGCAUCAGGAACACUGUAAGAAGACUUUCUUGUGUUAGUUUGGAACGCAGGGGACUUGCAAUGGAUAUGAAAGCUGUACGUGUGAGGAUCUCUAAGGAGAUACACGAUAUGCAGAGUUAUGGCGUACAACAUCAGGUCAUUGUCAGAGAAAGGUGUAUGCCUCCACAGGACGAACAAAGACAAACGUUUUAUAUCGUUGAUGAAGAGCAACCUAUUGUUGGAAUGGAGAAAAAUAUUGAGCUAGUGGUUGGCAAUUUGGUGGAGGAGGAUAGCAGUCAAGUGGUUGCUAUAACUGGGAUGGGUGGUAUUGGUAAAACCACAUUGGCAAGAAAAGUUUACAAUCAUGAGAAAAUAAAAAGUCAUUUUCGAGGAUUAGCGUGGGUGUGUGUUUCACAACAGUUUGAAAGGAAAUGUGUCUGGCAGACAAUCUUGCGACAACUGAUCGGGCCAGAAUGCGAUGUGUCAAAGAUGAUGGAAGACGAACUUCUUGAGAAGAUUGUUCGAGUGUUGGAAACUCAAAAGGCUUUGAUCGUCAUUGAUGAUAUAUGGAGAGAAGAAGACUGGGACCUAAUCAAGGAUGUGUUUCUGCCGAAAAAAGGAUGGAAGGUUUUACUUACUUCUCGCAAUGAGAAAGUGGCAUUACAUGCAGACAAUCAAUGUGUCCCCUUCAAACCAGAAUGUCUAACUUCUGAAGAAAGUUGGGAUCUUUUUCAAAGAAUAGCAUUUCCUAUUAAAGACACAGCUGAAUUUAAGAUUGAUGAAGUCGACAUGAAAGAAAUCGGUAAGGAGAUGAUUAAACAUUGUGGAGGCCUACCAUUGGCUCUUAAGGUGUUAGGCGGGUUGUUAUGUAAGAAGUACACAUUGAAUCAGUGGAAAACGGUACAUGAGAAUAUGAAAGCUCCCAUCGUUAGAGGGACAGGCUUUGUCGACAGAAACGUCAAUAGGGAGGUUAACGAUGUUUUGUAUCUGAGUUUCGAAGAGCUGCCUGCUUAUUUGAAGCAGUGCUUUCUUUACCUUGUUAGUUUUCCAGAAGAUUAUAAAAUAAAUGUGGAGACACUGUCCUAUUACUGGGCUGCAGAAGGAAUACUAAUGCCAAUGGAUUUCGAUGGAGCCAGCAUUCGAGAGGUUGCAGAUGGAUACAUAGAACAAUUGGUGAAGAGAAACAUGGUUAUUUCUGAAAGAGACGUUAAAACUUUCAGAUUUGAAACACUUCAGUUGCAUGACAUGAUGAGAGAAGUUUGUGUACGCAAAGCUGAAGAAGAGAAUUUCGUACAAACCAUUUGCAGAUCAACUGCAAAUUCGAAAUCUCCUUGUAAAUCUCGCAGACUUGCUGUUGUACGUUGGUAUGAAGAAACAUUUAAUGUCGAUACGGAGGUGAAGAAUCCAAGUCUUAGAACUCUCUUGUUUCUCCAGAGCAAAGGUUUAUUCUUUACAAGAUUUAAGCUGAUGAGAGUGUUAGAUCUCCCUUGUGUUGAUUUUGAAGGAGGGAAGGUACCCUCUAGCAUCGGGAAGCUCAUCCACUUGAGAUAUCUUAAUUUAGAGAUGUCAAAUGUACAUCAACUGCCUUCUUCUAUGCGGAAUCUGAAGAAGCUGCUCUAUUUAAACCUAAAUAUAUAUUUUGAAGUCUACAUUCCCAAUAUCUUGAAAGAUAUGGAAGAAUUGACAUACUUGUGGUUGCCGUUGAGAUUACAUGAUAAGACGAAGUUGGAAUUAGGAAAUCUGGUCAACCUGGAGACGUUGAAGAAUUUCUCCACAAAACAUGGGAGAGUGACGGAUGUACAAGGUAUGACACAGCUCAGAUAUCUCUGUAUCUUUAUUACAGACGAGAGGUAUACUAUAAAAACUCUAUCUUCGUCUCUAAGUAAACUUUCACACUUGGAGAGUCUUACUAUAGAUAACAAGAAGAAGUUUUAUACUCCCACGAAUGAUGAUGAAGAAGGAUUUGUUUGGGAUUUUGUUAAUCUCAAACAGCUGAAGUUGGAGAUAUAUAUGCCAAGGUUACCUGAUGCGCAACGCUUUCCUUCUCACCUUACAACCAUAAGUCUAAAGCAGUCUCGUUUGAAGAAGGAUCCAAUGCCUAUUCUAGAGAAGUUGCUUCACUUGAAAAAGAUUAGUUUACAUAAACGAUCUUUCUGUGGGAGGAGAAUGGAUUGCUCAAGGGGUGGGUUUCCUCAAUUGCAGAAGCUAAAAUUUGAUGGAUUAAAGGAGUGGGAAGAGUGGAUAAUAGAAGAAGGCUCCUUGCCCCUUCUCCAUACUCUCAAAAUUGACUCUUGUCCAAAGUUAAAGGAGCUUCCUGAUGGGCUGCGAUUUGUCACUAACUUGGAGUGUUUGAAUAUUGAUAGUAUGGGAGACGAAUUCGAUUUGAGAUUGUCGGAAAGAUACUUGCCUUCCCACCUUACAACCAUCUGUCUAAGUGGUUGUCAUUUGACAGAGGACCCAAUGCCUAUUUUAGAGAAGCUUCUUCAGUUGAAAGAGAUUAGUUUACAUGAAGGAUCUUUCUGUGGGAGGAGAAUGGUUUGCUCAAGGGAUGGGUUUCCGCAAUUGGAGAAGCUAGAAUUUAAAGGAUUAAAGGAGUGGGAAGAGUGGAUAAUAGAAGAAGGUUCCAUGCCUCUUCUCCAUACUCUAAGUAUUUGGUCUUGCAGAGAAUUAAAGGAGAUUCCUGAUGGGUUGCGAUUCAUCACUUCCUUAGACUAUCUUUUUGUUGGUGAAUCAAGUAUUAGAUUGUCGGAAACAUGCUUGCCUUCUUUCCUUACAACCAUAUCUCUAAUUGAUUUUCGUUUGACAGAGGAUCAGAUGAUGAUUCUAGAGAAGUUGCUUCACUUGAAAGAUGUUAAGUUAAAUGGUUGUUUCUGUGGGGGAAGAAUGGUUUGCUCGAGGGGUGGGUUUCCUCAAUUGCAGAAUCUAGAAUUUGAGGGAUUAGAGGAGUGGGAAGAGUGGAUAGUAGAAGAAGGCUCUAUGCCCCUUCUCCAUACUCUCCAGAUUGACUCUUGUCCAAAGUUAAAGGAGAUUCCUGAUGGGCUGCGAUUCAUCACUUCUUUGAAUAGUCUGUUUUUUUAUAAUAUGGGGAAGAGAUGGGAGAAGAGACUGUCGAAAGGAGGAAAAGACUAUUACAAAGUCCAACACAUCCCUUCUGUUAAAUUCAUUUAUUAUUGAUCUCCGCAAUGAUGAGUCAGUCAGCAGCUGAAGGAGACUCUCAGCAAUUACGGACUAUCAGUGGCAAACAGAGAUUUUACAAGUGAAACGUACUGGCACACACGAGGAGUGGAUGCUGCGGUGAAGCUGUUCGACCAAGUGUCUAACUGAGGUGAUAGAGAUAGAGAGAUUUAUUUUGGGAAGUGAAGCUGUUCGACGAAGGUUCUCAUGUUACCUUUGUUGACUGAGAGAGGUGAAAUAUGUUAAGAUUCUUAUAUAUUAGAUUUCUCUUUACAUUUUCUUGUAUUUGUUCUUCUCAAGCGACUAGGCUUUUUGAAAAUUUCCGUAUAGAACUGUGUUGAAACUCUUUGCUUGCCUCUGUAUAAAAGAUUUAUGGAUUUGAUGCCACAGAAUAGUUGAUCUUAGUCGUUGAUAUUUUCAGUAAAUAUUAUUUGAAUUAUGAACU